UUGUCGGUAGUGUAGUGGACUACCGAGGUUUUUACGGGUGACGGGGGAUCAGGGUUCGAUUCCGGAGAGGGAGCCUGAGAAACGGCUACCACAUCCAAGGAAGGCAGCAGGCGCGCAAAUUACCCAAUCCAGACAAUGGGAGGUGGUGACGAAAAGUACCAGAUGACGAUCUAAGAUUGUCAAUUUGGAAUGGAAUCAAUUUAAGCAAUUGAUUGAGGAACGACUAGAGGGCAAGUCUGGUGCCAGCAGCCGCGGUAAUUCCAGCUCUAGUAGCGUAUCCCAAAGUUGCUGCGCUUAAAACGCUCGUAGUUGGAUCACAAACUAUACGCGAGUUGGUGUGGUGCUGUAUCAAAUUUAUGAAUCAUGCAAGGUGUCCACAUUUUGUAUGGUUUUUAUGUGGUGCAGUGCUGCUACCGUAAGCUAGUGUAUAGUAAUUGCACGUGAGGAUAGACAUUAGCCUUGAAUGAGUAGAUGUUUGUGUCUCACGGAGUGUGCCUUGAAUAAAUCAAAGUGCUUAAAGCAGGCUGUACGCUUGAAUGUUAAAGCAUGGAACGAACAAUCGUGUAGGGUGCAUGUUGGUCAAUGAGUGUGAGGCCUAGCCUUGCAUUCAUCAACAUGUGACACCGACCGCCAAUAACGGAUGUUGGUUCCGUAUUGGGGUAUUGAUUAAGAGGAGCGGUUGGGGGCAUUGGUAUUUGGCAGCGAGAGGUGAAAUUCUUGGACCUGUCAAGGACUAACAAAUGCGAAGGCAUCUGUCCAGACCGUAUCCAUUAAUCAAGAACGAUAGUGAGAGGUUCGAAGACGAUCAGAUACCGUCCUAGUUCUCACUGUAAACUAUGCCGACCCGGGAUCAGUUUGGAGCUCUUUUCCAUGCUCGGAGUUGGUCCCCCAA
rnacentral:rRNA from 1 species